rnacentral:rRNA from 1 species
GCUUAACGCGAAGAACCUUACCUACCUUUGAAUCCACGGAACCUAGCAGAGAUGUUGGGGUGCCUUCGGGAACCGUGAGACAGGUGCUGCAUGGCUGUCGUCAGCUCGUGUCGUGAGAUGUUGGGUUAAGUCCCGUAACGAGCGCAACCCUUGUCCUUAGUUGCCAUCAGGUUAUGCUGGGCACUUUAAGGAGACUGCCGGUGAUAAACCGGAGGAAGGUGGGGAUGGACGUCAAGUCCUCAUGGCCCUUACAGGUAGGGCUACACACGUGCUACAAUGGGCAGUACAGAGGGAAGCCAACCCGCGAGGGGGAGCGAAUCUCAUAAAGCUGUUCGUAGUCCGGAUUGGAGUCUGCAACUCGACUCCAUGAAGUUGGAAUCGCUAGUAAUCGCGGAUCAGAAUGCCGCGGUGAAUACGUUCCCGGGUCUUGUACACACCG